AUUGAACGCUGGCGGCAGGCUUAACACAUGCAAGUCGAGCGGGGAAGGGUAGCUUGCUACCUAACCUAGCGGCGGACGGGUGAGUAAUGCUUAGGAAUCUGCCAUUUAGUGGGGGACAACACUCCGAAAGGAAUGCUAAUACCGCAUACGUCCUACGGGAGAAAGCAGGGGAUCUUCGGACCUUGCGCUAAAUGAUGAGCCUAAGUCGGAUUAGCUAGUUGGUGGGGUGAAGGCCUACCAAGGCAACGAUCUGUAGCGGGUCUGAGAGGAUGAUCCGCCACACUGGGACUGAGACACGGCCCAGACUCCUACGGGAGGCAGCAGUGGGGAAUAUUGGACAAUGGGCGGAAGCCUGAUCCAGCCAUGCCGCGUGUGUGAAGAAGGCCUUAUGGUCGUAAAGCACUUUAAGCGAGGAGGAGGCUACUAGUAUUAAUACUACUGGAUAGUGGACGUUACUCGCAGAAUAAGCACCGGCUAACUCUGUGCCAGCCGCCGCAGUAAUAC
rnacentral:rRNA from 1 species